ensembl:rRNA 5S_rRNA 5S ribosomal RNA
GUCUACAGCCAUACCACCCUGAACCUGCCUGAUCCCUUCUAUCUUGGAAGCUAAGAAGGGCUAGGCCUGACUAGUACUUAGAUGGGAGACUGGGUAAAUAAAGUUUUGUAUAUU